GACGAACGCUGGCGGCGUGCUUAACACAUGCAAGUCGAACGAAGAGCGAUGGAAGCUUGCUUCUAUCAAUCUUAGUGGCGAACGGGUGAGUAACGCGUAAUCAACCUGCCCUUCAGAGGGGGACAACAGUUGGAAACGACUGCUAAUACCGCAUACGAUCUAACCUCGGCAUCGAGGAUAGAUGAAAGGUGCCUCUACAUGUAAGCUAUCACUGAAGGAGGGGAUUGCGUCUGAUUAGCUAGUUGGAGGGGUAACGGCCCACCAAGGCGAUGAUCAGUAGCCGGUCUGAGAGGAUGAACGGCCACAUUGGGACUGAGACACGGCCCAGACUCCUACGGGAGGCAGCAGUGGGGAAUCUUCCGCAAUGGACGAAAGUCUGACGGAGCAACGCCGCGUGAGUGAUGACGGCCUUCGGGUUGUAAAGCUCUGUUAAUCGGGACGAAAGGCCUUCUUGCGAAUAGUGAGAAGGAUUGACGGUACCGGAAUAGAAAGCCACGGCUAACUACGUG
rnacentral:rRNA from 1 species